rnacentral:misc_RNA from 1 species
GAUGAAGAACGCAGCAAAAUGCGAUAAGUAAUGUGAAUUGCAGAAUUCAGUGAAUCAUCGAAUCUUUGAACGCACAUUGCGCCCGCCAGUAUUCUGUCGGGCAUGCCUGUUCGAGCGUCAUUUCAACCCUCAAGCACAGCUUGGUGUUGGGACUCGCGUUAAUUCGCGUUCCCCAAAUUGAUUGGCGGUCACGUCGAGCUUCCAUAGCGUAGUAGUAAAACCCUCGUUACUGGUAAUCGUCGCGGCCACGCCGUUAAACCCCAACUUCUGAAUGUUGACCUCGGAUCAGGUAGGAAUACCCGCUGAACUUAAGCAUAUCAAUAAGCGGAGGA